AUGUGUAGAAUUGCAGGACAUUUACUUAAGAACGUACAUUUGUCUCUCCGUCAUCAAGAGGGGGGCCACAAAAAAAAUGUGCCCGCUUGGUGGGGGGGGGCCUCCCCCAACCAAAUCUCUCUUAGGGCCCUCAAAAUGAUAGAGCCGGCACUGAGUAUACCAAUACUGUCCGAGUCAGUGUCUACACAGUCCUAUCAAUGUCCUAAAUGGACAAAUAGUAUUAUAUCUUUGUCUGUUGAUGAGGGCCUCAGCUCAGAGUCGCCCAAUUAUUAUAUCCAGUUUUUAUAUGCUAUUUUGAUGCAUUAUUCUUGAUCUGGUGUUUGUUUUCUGAGUGUGCAAAUCAAGCGUGUUACAGGACUCCAUGCUGUCAAACUCAACUGAUUCUGUUAGCAUUUACUCCAUGAAUUGUGUGUAACCAUACCCAAAUUAUUGCCUACGAGAAAACAGUAUGUCUAUUUGCAGCCAUUGUUCUAAGUUUAUAAUGUAUUUUUAUAUCUUAUUUUCUAUGUGUGUAAGACAAAAUAUUAAAUGAUUUCUUUACAGAUUUGAAUUACAUAAACGAGAAAAUCAGCUACAUUAUUUGUUUCAUUUGAGAUUCUUUGUAGUUUAUUAAAUCAGUGUUUCAUAAUCCUGGUCCUGCUAAUUAGAGUUUUUGCCCUAGCACUACACACCUGAUUCCACUAAUCAACUCAUCGUCAAACCUUUGAUUGGUGGAAUCAGUUGUCUGGUGCUAGGGAAAAAACUCAAAUGUGCACCCUUUGGGCACCCAGGACCAUGAUUAAGAAACACUGCAUUAAAUUAACUCCUUGACAAAGCCUUAUCUCUAUUACUGAUUCCGAUCAUUUAAGUUUUUCCUUUCCUCACAUUUAGGGAUGUUUGGUUGUGGCAUGUUUCAUUUAGCCAGUAUUAUUUUAAUAAAUGUUUCCAAACAGACAUAUUAACAAAGAACACUUGUUUUAUUACCAUCCCGAGGGCACUACUUAACUUUAGAGAGUCUGCCUCAAAAGGCUAUAGAAGUUAUUACCGUAUAAUGCGGUGGUAAGCUAUGAAACACUAGAUGACACAUACAUCUAGCUAUGAAGUCUUAACCCUCUUACAUCAUUGGGCCAUUUGACUCAAUCAAACAUAGUAGAUGCUUAUUUUAUGAGCAUGUUGUUCUCUCAAUAGUUACUGAUAAAAAUGACCUUACAUUUCAGAGUACUUAUGGAAAAGUUUAUGGAAAAGUUUAUGGAAGUUUAUGGAGUUUAUGGAAAAGUAUGGGCGGGAAAUACAAGCAGUGGGUGGCACAAUUUCGGUAGGUACAAACCCUAAGGUUCUUAAACAAAUGAAACUUGACUAUCUUACUACGUCGUGGCGCAAUAAGAAACAUUAUAUUCCACAACACAGGCUGAAACCUGAAAAGCUAUGUUGUAGCGUACUGAGAAACAUUAUAUUCCACAACACAGGCUGAAACUUGAAGAGCUACGUCGUAGCGUACUGAGAAACAUUAUAUUCCACAACACAGGCUGAAACCUGAAGAGCUACGUCGUAGCGUACUGAGAAACAUUAUAUUCCACAACACAGGCUGAAACUUGAAGAGCUACGUCGUAGCGUACUGAGAAACACUAUAUUCCACAACACAGGCUAAAACGUGAAGAACAGUGAGAAAGGAGCCUGGUGAUUUGACAACGUUGUGUUUGAGUUGUUUACUUAUGCAGUGUAGUUUAUACAGUGAAGGACACCACAAACUAGGCUUGCGAAUGGGUUGUAAAAUGACCCCCUGAUCACUGAUACAGAAGCAGAGAAGGAACACAGUGUGGCACAGAGGUGGGGUGGAUGGCCAAUCAAUACCCCCUUUCACACUUUCUGACAUUGGGAGGCAUGAGUGGACAUGUAAUUGGGAAUUGAGGGAUUACUAUCUGCGGUUAUCUCCACAGCAUGAAGCUAAAGUCAGUGGAGCAUUCCUCAGAUGCCCAAAUGGCCACCGGGCCAUCUCUACUCUCAUACACACAACAACAACAACACCACCUCUGGUCUAGCAACCUGCUGUUAUGAGACACACGAGAGCUGUUAACAUUUUCCAAUUUACAACCAAUUCUCAACAUGGCAACUAGGUUACAAGACUCCCUCCAUCACAAGCACACAAAUACUUUGGCCAAAUCCAUACUUGCACGUCCCACCCCUCACCCUUUCUGGGCUAUCAUUCCUUGUUUCACUCCUCAUUCACUUUUUCCCCUCUCCUCAUCCUCCAUUCCGGAGCUUUCUAGGGGAAUUGCUAUGUUUAUCACAGGGCUUAAAUUGCCUGGGCUGCAGCGGCCCGCUGCUAUGCGCUGAUAAGAUGUGCUGGGGGCCCCGGCGGCUGUUUGGGGGUAGAAAUCACAUCUUGUGUCGCCACCAGGUGUUGAGCCACGUAAGUGUUUGUUUUUGUAGAAGAAAAAAAAAAGCUCUGCUCCCAGAUCUCUGAUUGGGUUGUGGGAUUCUGAGUCUCUCUCUCUCUCUCUCUCUGGGGACAGAGGGGGAGUCAAUUAUGAAGAGUGUUAAAGUAGAUGUGAUUCUCUCUGGGCGUCACAUUUUAACUCCUGGGGAGGAGAAAUGAGAAGUGAAAUGUUCAAGUUCACCCUGCCAUAGAUCAACAGCAGCCAUAACAGCAACACUGCCAUGCCAUGGGGCAGAGGAGGAGGACGAGGAGGAGGAGAGGGUUGGAGCAGAAUGCUGGAGUCUCCGCUGUGCGGAUUGAUCUGUAAAUUGCUUCUGCCAGACUGCCAUGCCCUGCAGAAACCCACAUGUUAUGGAGAAACCAUGCUGUGAUCAUAGCAAAGCUGUGUUCUGUUGUUAUCAGGGUCAAUGGUACUUUUUCAUUGUGUACUUUGUUCUUCUCUGCCAUCUAUUCCAUUCAGCAGAACAGUACCAGACUCUGGCUGUGAUACAUCCAAUAUUCUGCCCCAGAGUGGGGAUCAAUCAGAGAGAAGUACUCAUCCCUCUCCUGCUCCGAAUCUGCAUGAGAGAGAGAGAGAGUGGUUGAAUAAUGUUCCCCCUGAAUCGUAAUCUGCAGACCCCCCCCCCCCC
rnacentral:lncRNA from 13 species